rnacentral:rRNA from 1 species
AUGGUUAAGUUAGAAAGGGCGCACGGUGGAUGCCUUGGCACUAGGAGCCGAAGAAGGACGGGACUAACACCGAUAUGCUUUGGGGAGCUGUACGUAAGCGUUGAUCCAGAGAUUUCCGAAUGGGGGAACCCACUAUCUUUAGUCGGAUAGUAUCCUUACGUGAAUACAUAGCGUAAGGAAGGCAGACCCAGGGAACUGAAACAUCUAAGUACCUGGAGGAAGAGAAAGAAAAAUCGAUUUCCUGAGUAGCGGCGAGCGAAACGGAAAGAGCCCAAACCAAGAAGCUUGCUUCUUGGGGUUGUAGGACACUCUAUACGGAGUUACAAAGGAAUGUGGUAAACGAAGUGGUCUGGAAAGGCCCGCCAAAGAAGGUAACAGCCCUGUAAUUGAAAGCAUAUUCCCUCCAGAGUGGAUCCUGAGUACGGCGGAACACGUGAAAUUCCGUCGGAAUCCGGGAGGACCAUCUCCCAAGGCUAAAUACUCCCUAGUGACCGAUAGUGAACCAGUACCGUGAGGGAAAGGUGAAAAGCACCCCGGAAGGGGAGUGAAACAGUUCCUGAAACCGUGUGCCUACAAGUAGUUAGAGCCCGUUAAUGGGUGAUAGCGUGCCUUUUGUAGAAUGAACCGGCGAGUUACGAUUUGUUGCAAGGUUAAGCGGAAAAAGCGGAGCCGUAGCGAAAGCGAGUCUGAAUAGGGCGCAUGAGUAACAGGUCGUAGACCCGAAACCAGGUGAUCUACCCAUGUCCAGGAUGAAGGUGAGGUAAUACUCACUGGAGGUCCGAACCCACGCACGUUGAAAAGUGCGGGGAUGAGGUGUGGGUAGCGGAGAAAUUCCAAUCGAACCUGGAGAUAGCUGGUUCUCUCCGAAAUAGCUUUAGGGCUAGCCUCGAGGUAAAGAGUCGUGGAGGUAGAGCACUGUUUGGACUAGGGGCCCUUCUCGGGUUACCGAAUUCAGAUAAACUCCGAAUGCCAUGUACUUAUACUCGGGAGUCAGACUGCGAGUGAUAAGAUCCGUAGUCGAAAGGGAAACAGCCCAGACCACCAGUUAAGGUCCCAAAAUAUAUGUUAAGUGGAAAAGGAUGUGGGGUUGCAUAGACAACCAGGAUGUUGGCUUAGAAGCAGCCACCAUUGAAAGAGUGCGUAAUAGCUCACUGGUCGAGUGACCCCGCGCCGAAAAUGUACCGGGGCUAAACAUAUUACCGAAACUGUGGAUGAACCUCUUCGGAGGUUCGUGGUAGGAGAGCGUUCUAAGGGCGGUGAAGUCAGACCG